rnacentral:rRNA from 1 species
AUUGCACGCUGGCGGCAGGCCUAACACAUGCAAGUCGUGCGAGCGGCGGACGGGUGAGUAAUGUAUUGGGAACUGCCUGAUGGAGGGGGAUAAGUACUGGCAACGGUAGCUAAUACCUCAUACCAUCAGAUGAACCCACAGUGGAUUAGCUUGUAGGUGAGGUAACGGCUCACCUAGGCGACGAUCCCUAGCUGGUCUGAGAGGAUGAUCAGCCACACUGGGACUGAGACACGGCCCAGACUCCUACGGGAGGCAGCAGGGGGGAAUAUUGAACAAUGGGCGCAAGCCUGAUGCAGCCAUGCCGCGGGUAUGAAGAAGGCCUUCGGGUUGUAAAGUAAGUUCAUUCGGGAGGCGUUACCGACAGAAGAAGCACCGGAUAACUCCGUGCCAGCCGCCGCGGUAAUAC